AUACUUACCUGGAAGAACAGACACCAUUAUCACAAAGGUGGUUUUCCCAUUGCAGGGCUCAUCCAUCAUAUUCCAGAUAUGCUGACUAUUGCAAUUUUCCUAAAGGUGGAAAACUUUACUGCAUAAUUUGUGCUAUUGAAAGAGUAUGUUCAUGCUCUCCUA
ensembl:snRNA U1 U1 spliceosomal RNA